UUGUAAACAUUUUCCUGGCCGCAAAAAUGAAGCUAUCGACUUCAAGUUUGACAGAGGCAAACGAAGGUCUUGCACACAUGUUAGCGACAUAUCCUUGCAGUCAACGAUCAGUGAUGCUACGUAGUUUCUAAAUGACUUGAAAAAAAUGUGUUUUUUUCUGGGAUAUGGAGUAUGAGUGUACUUAGUCAAAAAAAUAGAUCUUUUUCGAACAACUUUUCAGAUCGUACAGGUCUUAUCAGAGUCUUUUGCUAAUAAUAAUUUAGAGAAUUUGAACAGUGCAAAGCAAUAUAUAAAUCUUAUUCUUUGAAUAUAAAAAUCGAUUGUAUAAGUUUUUCAUCUAAAAUUGGGUUAAUUCCAAUUUUCUCUUAAAACACAUCGAUGUGUUAUGUUAACUUUUCCAUUAUGCUUGCAAUGCAUGGAUAUCAAUUCUUGGUCACGGAUAUCGACUGACGCGUACUGAGUCGAAAUCAGCUAUGUCUGUCUGCACUAAGUUGACUCGCCAACGUCCGUCUGUCUAACUAACCGUUGUUAGGGCUUAUAGAUAUUCAGGGCUAUUAUAAUAUUUUGAACAGGCUUAGUAAGAUCUGUGUAAGCAACGAUUGAAAAACUUGUCACGAGGUGCUAAACCGUUUCAGCAACGUCCAUCUGUUUAACCAUUAGUUGUCACAGUUCUUACUAUUCCGGUACUUACAGUAGCAAAGCGAGUCAUCAGCAUAAGCUUGUGCAACGAUCUUUUAUGACGGUUCACGGAACACCAAAUCUAAAGAAAGACGUAUUGUAAUCAAAGCGUUAUUGUCAAUAAUUUGCGGUUAAUAGCAGACGUUAACGUGGCAUUUACCAGAAAUGUUAAGAAAUUUAAAGACUUUAUUUCGAAUUGCUGCUGUCCAUAAGGUACCUGAGAGUGGCUGCAAACCUUAUAUAACUUUUUCGUUUCAUUUUCACUAUGAUUUGUCUUUUUUUUUGUUUUUUGUUUACACUUAACGCCUACACAAAAAAUUCUCAAGGCAUUCUUCAUUUCCAUAAUAUAUUUUCGGACUUUUAAAAGAAACCUGAAAUUCUGCCUCAAACCGCCCCUCAAAAAAAAAAAAAAAACAAUCUUAUUAACAUAGCAGCCAAUCAUAUGCAUUCCAUUCAAAUCUUGAGAAUUUUACUGAUAAUAUUAAACUUGAAACUGUAGUUCAUUUGUUUUCAUCUCUAAAUUAUUAAUUUAUGAAAUUUAUGGCCAUUAAUUUUUAGUAACAAAGGAAAAGGGAAAAAAAGAAAUGAAAAACUAGAGUAAGCCAAAAAGCAACUGCUUUCGUCUUGAAGUUAGCUGAAGGCGAUUUAUCGAUCCUCUACCAGCUUAGAUCAGCGGCGUCCUCAAUAGCAAAUAUAGAGGUAGGGAGAUUGUUAUCUUAAAUUAGAUUUCUCUACGUAUUUCUAGUUCCAAGGGAAAAUAUGUUGAAUUUAAUCUUAGGAAGAUUUGAUGAAUCUUUUAGCUUGCCUUUGUCCUACACUUUGCUUCCAAUGACUUGUUGAUUUCUUCUUUUCCCUCGAUGAUGGUUGUAGGUCCCAGGCCUACCAUGGGCCUUCGGGCUUCUCUAUUGAAUAGACAGCCAUUCCAUUUAUGCCCAGAUUCCCAAGUUAGAUGCAAUCUCAUUUCUGCCUUCUUAGCUCAUUCAGGCGCUGAAGGCACUCCAGCACAAGCCUAGAGGUGAUUGUAUGACUUUUCAUGGUCUUUAGAACAACUUUAUUAUCAGAGUGAAUGGCAGCAUAAGUAAGAAUGUUUCUUUUCUUUCUUAUUUAUUUAUAUUAUAAUAAAUCACUAGAGUUUUAAAUAAAAUUAAAUUAAGAGCAAGAAAUUUUGCUUAGUAUGCAGAAAAGUUUACAAAGAAUUACUUCCUGCACGAGCACUACAUAUAACGUUCAAAAUAAUUUGCAUAAACUUAUGAAUUUUUGUCUCUUUCUGUUAAAGCACUGUUUAAAGUUUAAUGAAACUAUAAAAUAAUUUGACAUUUUAAAUAUUUUACAUUCGUACGCAAUCAUGUUUUUUUAUAAAUCAUUUUGGAUUAAAAUUCGUAUUUAAUCAAAGUCAUUCGCUUAGGUUAAUAAUAGUAAUAAUAGUUUUUUUUUCUUUGCUUUUUUAUGCUUAAUACCGGAAGAUACAUGUAUACACUCUUAAACGAUCCAUUUAUAACACUUGCUUUUACGCCUCGCUCGCACUCACUUUUUAUACUCAAAAAAGUCAACGAAUACGGUGCUCAUAGUUGCUCAUAUACCAAAUUAUUCGCAAUCGGCGGAGUGACUUAAAUGUGAAAAAAAUCAUUUUUGGAACUGUAUGUAAGAUUGUACUUAAAAGUAGUGCUUCCUUAUCUAUCAGCUCUGCUUAAAGAUAAAUAAAAAUUUCUCAGAAAAGUUUGACUUCAUUUUCCAGGAGUAUCGUUCCUCUUUUUCACCUAGAUCUACGGAGUGGAAUCAAGAAUGUGGAAUAUGAAAGAGUUGCAAUCUCUGCUUAAAAAGAAGCGUUUUUCCGGCGGUUAAUUUCCUUUUUAUUGGCGUCUUAGAGAAUGCCUUGGCCGCGUUCUUCGCACAGCCUGGUGCGGCAUUGUUAUGCCUAAAAUCGUAAAAUGCGUUUUAGAAAGAGAAGAAACUCACGCGAAGUACGCUUGCGCGGAUAUCUCCCCUCGUGGAUGCCAUAACUCUAAGUUGUCGAAAUAAACUUUUUCUUCGAAAUCUUCCAGUUUUCACUCAAUCGUGUCAGAUUUCCUAGCAGGCUUGGUAUCAUAAGAAGACUUUUUUCUCAAUUUUUUAUCAAUUUGCUUAAAAAAAUUUGCCCUUGGAAGCAAAUUUAAAUUAUUUAUCCAUACUUGCAGGGGGAACAUCUGAUACUUUCUUGACAAUUUAUUCAGAACAUCUAUAUCAAGCUUUCAUACUCAGAUCCGCUUCGUUAUUCUAAUUGAGGACGUAACACAUUACCCAGGCAUUUUCGAUUAUAAUAAAUGGAAUGAAGAAAGUAAUAUACCGCCACACCCUGGAGUUGAUGUAAUAAUAAUUAAAAAUGUAUUUCAUGUAUAAUAAAAAUAUAAAAAAAAAAACUUGUGUGA